GGCCGCGGGGGCUGAUGACGUCACGCAAGAGCGUCCACACUGGCGGUGUUUGAACGUGUAAACAAGUGGACGUGUCUCAUGUAGGACGACGUUGUGGGAGCACCAUGGAGAAACCUCCGUUCAGGCAGAACCAGAACUGCGGGGACUGGGAGCUGAAAGAGCGGCUGGGAAUGGGAGGCUUCGCCCACGUUUACCUCUACCAGCAUCAAGCGAGUGGCGAGAAGCUGGCGGUGAAGAUGUGCCGACUGGAGCUGACGCCAAGGAACAAGGACCGUUGGAGUCGAGAGAUCCAGAUCAUGAAGAAGUUGAACCACAUCAACGUGGUGACGGCACGGGACGUUCCAGAAGAAAUGAAGUUGAUCGCCAUGAACGACCUGCCGCUGCUUGCCAUGGAGUUCUGCUCGCGUGGGGACUUGAGGAAGGUUCUGAGCAGACCUGAGAACUGCUGCGGGCUGAAGGAGAGCGAGGUUCUGUCCUUACUCAACGACGUUGGUUCCGGCAUCCAGUAUCUGCACGAGAACAAGAUCAUUCAUCGAGACCUGAAACCGGAGAACAUUGUGCUGCAGGAAACCAACGGGAAGCUGGUCCACAAGAUCAUCGACUUGGGCUACGCUAAAGACCUGGACCAGGGCAGUCUCUGCACAUCGUUUGUGGGCACGCUGCAGUACCUGGCGCCUGAGUUGUUUGAGAACAAAGCGUACACGGUCAGCGUGGACUACUGGAGCUUCGGCACCAUGAUCUUUGAGUGCUCCUGCGGGUUCCGGCCCUUUCUGCACAACCUGCAGCCUGUGCAGUGGGCCAGCAAAGUGCGGAACAAAGGUCCAAAAGACAUCGUGGCAGUGGAGGAACCCAACGGAGAAAUCCGCUUCUCCACACGUCUUCCGUACCCCAACAACCUGAGCAGGACGCUGCUUGAGCCCAUGGAGGCUCUGCUCCAACUCAUGCUCAAGUGGGACCCAGUCCAGAGAGGAGGCGGAGUCCAUCCCGACAGCAGGAAGCCGCUCUGCUUUGAGCUUUUGGAUCAGAUUCUUAGCAUGAAGGUGGUCCACGUCCUCAACAUGACCACGGCCCAGGUGCACUCCUUCCAGCUGGCACCAGAUGAGUCCCUGCACAGUCUCCAGAAGCGCAUCCAGGCCGAGAGCGGGAUUGACGUGGUCCGCCAGGAGCUGCUGCAGGAGACGGGCGUGUCUCUGGACCCUCGCAAGCCGGCGGCGCAGUGCGUCCUCGAUGGUGUGCGAGGCUGGGACUCGUACAUUGUCUACUUGUUUGACAAGAGCGCCACCGAGUACUCGGGCCCGUUCAGCGCCAGACAGCUGCCCGAUAAGGUCAACACCAUUGUCCAGGAGGCCCGAACACAGCUGCCCCUCGCCGCACUCAAGAAGGUUUGGGGCGAAGCAGUCAGCUACAUCUGCGGCCUCAAAGAUGACUACAGCCGUCUCUUCCAGGGACAGAGGGCCGCUAUGCUGAGUCUCCUGCGCUACAACACCAACCUAACGAGGUGCAAGAACAGCAUGUUCGGAUUUUCCCAGCAGCUGAAAGCCAAGCUGGACUUCUUCAGGAGCAGCAUCCAAUACGACCUGGAGAAGUACAGCGACCAGAUGCACUACGGCAUUUCCUCUGAGAAGAUGCUGAAGGCCUGGCAAGAGAACGAGGAGCGUGCGGCGGCCUUUGCUCAGGUGGCAGAGGUGGGCCACCUGGAUGAUGAGAUCAUGGCGCUGCACUCUGAAAUCGUGGAGCUUCAGAGGAGUCCGUACGCUCGUCGCCAAGGCGACAAGAUGGAGCAGCUAGAAGAGAAGGCCAUGGAACUCUACAAGCAGCUGAAGAUGAAAUGCAAAGUACCAGAAGCAGAUGUGAGCAGCGACAGUUCUGAGAUGGUAAAGGCCAUCAUCCAGACGGUGCAGAACCAGGACAAAGUGCUGAAAGAUCUCUACACCCAUCUAAGUAAGAUCCUGAGCAGCAAGCAGAAGAUCAUCAACUUGUUUCCGCGCAUCGAGAAGACGCUGGAGAGCAUCAAGGAGGCGGACAACACGGUCAUGCAGAUGCAGAUCAAGCGGCAGCGAGAGUUCUGGCACCUUCUCAAGAUCGCAUGUGCUCAGAACUCAGCACGUAGCUCCAUGGCUGCCAGUCCGGAGGCAUCCAACCCGCCGCAAGUCUCCCAGUGGUCCCAGUCUGCUCCACCCGUCAGCGCGCCACACCCUCUCACGUCACUUCCGGGGCCCAAUGACAGCGACGCCGCCCCCCGCUUGCUGCAGGAGACCCAGAAGUACCUGAGUCACCUGACCAGCCUCAUGCAGGAAGCUGCUGACGAGCAGGCCAAGAGCAUCGUGGACCAAGACUGGAGUUGGACCAAAUAUGAAACAUUAACCACCAAACUCAAAAAGAGAAACGCGUAGGUCACACUGGAUCCCCUCACUCCUCCUCGCUGUUCAACACUAAAGUCAGGCGGUGGCAUUGUCAUCAGACAUGCACGCUCUUACCAUGAAGAGACAACAGUUGACACACAGGCUUCUUUUUUUUUAUUAUUGACCCCUCAUGAUGUUGUGCUUUUUUCCCCCCUAUCCAAAACGCUGAGGAAUUCUGAUUGAACAUUUGACAGGAAACAGGAAACCUGUCACCUUUCUGCUCAUUAAGGACAUGAUCACAAUGAUUGAUGGGACCAAACAAGCUACGAGCGUUAGUUGAAUAAAGACGACUUGACUGCCUUUCAAGUCUUUAUUACGGAAGCCAGAGCCCCCCUGAUGGACAGCACAUGUAUAACAUGAUGCUCUAUGUUCUUGUGUGGAACAUCAUGAUACUACUUCUGACUUCGUUCCACCGCCAUCCUCUCCAGACGCUCUGUGUAGAAGCCGUUGAAGUCCAGCCUGUGAGAGGUCAGAGGUUACAACAGUGGUGGUGGGGAUGGAGGGUGCACUGACCUGUAGAUGAUGCUGAUCAUGCUGUGCUCGCAAUCGUUGGUGCUGAAGAUGCUCAGCUUGUCUAGAAGGUCAAGCAGCAACACGCUGAAGUUGUUGUCAAAGUUGACGAUGGCUGCCUCAAAGCCGCUGUCUGACGGCGGGAGUGUGUCUACGUGCUAUGACAGGAACUGAGUAAGAUCAACACGCACACAGCGUAAAGUGUCAAGUGACUGACAUGAGGACAACUACCUUGGCAGUCCUCUUCUUGUCUACUUCGGCCUGGUUCUGUAUGGGUGGGGCAUCCAGAGAGAGACGCUCCAGCCUGAGACUCUGCGUGAAGCGCUAGCACACAACAAACACGGGGUGUGUGUGUGUGUGUGUGUGUGGAACAACGGCGUGAGUGUGACCUUGCGAGGCGGCGUGUGCGCACCUGCAUGCAAUUGGUGAACAUGACACAGACGGCCAUGAGCUUGGAGAAGAUGCGCAGCAGCUCGGGAUUGGUCAGCAUGCAGUCCUUCAGGCAAUUGUCCAGGAAGCUGGUGUGAUGACAUAGCACGUCGUCGAUGUUGGACGCCUGUGUGCACGUGAAAACACACUACACACUGCACUUCUGCUGACGACAAGGGGAAGGUGAGUCACGAGACCUGCACACUCACCGUCUUCAGGUUGUUCUCCAUCAGGUGCCAGGUGGGCUCCAUCACUUCAAACAUCAUGUA